rnacentral:rRNA from 1 species
GACGAACCGUGCGAACGUUGUUCGGAAUCACUGGGCUUAAAGGGCGCGUAGGCGGGUUCGCAAGUCUGUGGUGAAAGCCCCCGGCUUAACCGGGGAAGGGCCGUGGAUACUGCGAAUCUUGAGGAGGGUAGGGGCAUCUGGAACGGUCGGUGGAGCGGUGAAAUGCGUUGAUAUCAAGAGGAACACCUGCGGCGAAGGCGGGUUGCUGGGCCGACACUGACGCUGAAGCGCGAAAGCUAGGGGAGCGAACGGG